GACGAACGCUGGCGGCGUGCCUAAUACAUGCAAGUUGAGCGCUGAAGGUUGGUUCUUGUACCAACUGGAUGAGCAGCGAACGGGUGAGUAACGCGUGGGGAAUCUGCCUUGGAGCGGGGGACAACAUUUGGAAACGAAUGCUAAUACCGCAUAAGAACGUUAAACACAAGUUUUAAGUUUGAAAGAUGCAAUUGCAUCACUCAAAGAUGAUCCCGCGUUGUAUUAGCUAGUUGGUGAGGUAAAGGCUCACCAAGGCGAGGAUACAUAGCCGACCUGAGAGGGUGGUCGGCCACCUUGGGAAUGAGACCCGGCCCCAACCUCUUCGGGAGGCCGCCGUAGGGGAUCUUUGGCAAUGGACGAAAGUCUUACCGAGCACCGCCGCGUGGGUGAAGGAGGUUUUCGGGUCGUAAAACUCUGUUGGUAGAGAAGAACGUUCGUGAGAGUAGAAAGCUCAUCAAGUGACGGUAACUACACAGAAAGGGACGGCUAACUACGUG
rnacentral:rRNA from 1 species